rnacentral:sRNA from 1 species
UACAAAAUUGUAUUGCUUGAAGAAGUAGCUAGUGUUUGUUAUUUUUAUAACGAGGUAGCAAAUGGACAAAGCGUGAAAUCGACAAAUGACAAGGUUAGGAUGAAGAGAGAAAAUACGAUGAAGAAGACAAAUUCUGUACAACAUAAAACAGCGGAAUUAUUUGAGGUGAAAAGUUAGUUGGAGGGUUAAAGUAUGCAUCUUUACUGAUGGAGCCGAUGAAUAUUUUUCUUGUUUCAGACAGAAAGCAACCAAGUUAUAGGAGAUGAAUUGGAAACUAAGCAGAAAGAGUUGAAAGAACUUAAGAAGCGUUAAAGACAAUGUAGGUAAAAUAAGAGAAAGAGGACUAUUUGAGUAUGGUUUAGUAUUAUUAUUUCUGGUAUUGUAAACCGGUACGGUAUAAAUAAUUCAAGUAUGCAAUCCAGAUUCAUUAAUGAGAAUAACGAUCUUCGUAACAAACUUUUCUUCUUCGUUCUCUCCUUCCAUGGAGAUUCUAGUUCUCUAACAUGGUAUUAGAGCGAUGAAUCCUUAAAAUUCAUCCGAUUCUAGACCUAAAUCUCUAUUUUAUUUCUCUUUCGAUCAAUUUCUACGGUUGUUUCCACCGUAAAAUUGUUGUAUCAAUCAAAAUCUUUCUCAGUUUCUUUAUCCUCAACGUAUUUUCGUUUUUCCGAUGGUGGUUACUCACAGAAUUAAUCGUCGCAUGAUGAUAAGUGUGUAUUUUACAUGUUUUGAGCAUCCAUUUGUCAUCAUUUUAGCAUCAUAUCAUCACUGUUUUAUACCAUUUCUCAUCAUUUGUCAUCACUUUAUAGAUUUGCAUGCAUGUUGCAUAUUUGCGUUGAUUUCAGGUGAUUUAGAGCUGUUGACGAGCUAUCUGGAAGAAGCGGGCCGGAUCAUGUCAAACCACUCGACCCCGAGGUCGAGUAGAAGCUUCAAGAUCUCAACAGAUCACUCGACCCCCUGGUCGAAUAGAGGACAUCACUACUUCACCACAUCACUCGACCCCGAGGCCGAGUGUCUUCACCUUCAUUGCUAGAACACUACUCGACCUCUUCACUCUACCUGGAAGUCGAGUAUCACCAUCACCACCACUCGACUGCAUACUCGAUGACAAACUUCAGAGCCUUCUUCAUUCCGCACUCAACCAGACACUCGAGCACAAGGAAGAAAAGAAGACUCCAGCUAUUCACUCGACCACCCACUCGACCACAUGGGUCGAGUACAGUUCUUAAUCCGUCCUAAUACUGCGUCGUUUUAAGUAUUAGGGUUUCGGAACAUUUGGCUAUAAGUAUCAUGUACUUCACAUUUUCGCAGACAAGUUUUUAUCUAGUUUUAUUCCGCAGACCUUGUGUUCUAGACCUUUUGUAAUCUGGAUUUCUCUUUAUCUAUUCAGUAUUCAGUAUUCAUCUUUUGUUCUUGAUUUCGUUUACUGUUGUUCAUUCUGUUAUCAUCCUGCUGUUACACUGUUGUUAUCAUGUUUUCAACUUGUUCAACGUUUACGCUUACUGUUAUGAUGUCUGAGUAGUGAAUAGGUUUCUGAGGAUGGGUUAAAGUAGUGUAGAAUUCUCAGUAUGCUAGGUGAUUGAGUAUUGGUUGAUAGAUCCCUUCUGAAUUAGUUGUUCUUAAUGCCUAUUGCUUUCUGAUCAACUGGAAUUUGAGUGCAGACAUUUCCGCGCCCAAAAGGUGUGCGAUGAAAUGUCUGAACCACUAAUUCCAGAGAUUCGUGAUCCUGUACCAAGGUAUUGGUUGCAGGGAGCGUUUUGGCUUUAACUUGUUGAUUCGUAAUGCCUGUUAGGUUAGCUCUCGUCAAUGGUGAUUGAGUCUGGGACUAGGUUAACUUGAGAGUCUCUUUUGCGGUGGCACUUAGAUUUGGUUAAUGAACUUGUUGUCUAGGGUUAAUUUAUUGAGCAUGUCAAUCACCUGUAAACUGAGGAAACGAAACUACUCAAUUACCCCAUCCUUGGGAAUUCUUUAUCUGAUUGAAUUCUUUGUUUACUCUACUGUUGUUUACUGCAUCCUGUUAUCUGUCGCUUAAUUUCUGCAAUUCUUUCUAUUUACUCAACCUCGUACUCGACCACCCAGUUGUCUCGCAACAGACUGUGCAGUCGAGUAUCUGUGUUUUAUUUUCUGUCUGUUACUCGACUUGUCACUCGACCUCACCCAGUGCUCUGCAAAGAGCUGUGUUGGUCGAGUGUUUCACUGUUUCUGUUUGAUUUUCUGUUUUCUACAUGUUCACUUAGGACUGCUAGAACAGACCAAAACCUGUUAUUGCUUGGCUUGACUUAGUGACUUCUGAUCACAUCUUGAUUGUUAGCAUCACACCCAUUUGGAUUGACAACCUAAAAUACUACAACGAUAUGAUUGGUGUUUUAGGAUAAUUGACUAAAAACCUAUUAUCAAUUUGGCGCCGUUGCCAAUUGGGUGUUUGUUUGUUACAUUUGAGAUUUUAGACUUGCUUAGAUCAAGUUCUUUUUCAAUUUUCUUUUCGGUUACUAACAGUGUGUUUUUCUUGUUGUCUUCUUGAUCCAGGUACACCUCUGCUGUAUGCGAACUCGAUCAACAGACAAUUAGAACCUCCUUUUCAACGACAACAUCGACCGCAUAGCUCGCGAACUCAGAGAAAGGAGAAACACAGUCAACCCUGUACCUCAACAACCACUCGAUAUGGCUUACGAACAGAAUCAACAAAAUGGCCCUACCAACAUUGGUGCUGGAGAUGCACCACGUGAUCACUGUCAGAGGAAAGAAAUUGCACCUCCUGCUAUCCAGAACAACAACUUCGAGAUUAAGAGUGGUCUCAUCUCGAUGAUUCCGGGGAACAAAUUCCAUGGUCUGCCAAUGGAGGAUCCACUCGACCACCUUGAUGAAUUCGAUAGGCUCUGCAAACCUAACAAAGAUCAAUGGUGUCAGUGAAGACGUAUUCAAGCUCCGUUUGUUCCCAUUCUCCUUGGGCGACAAAACACACAUCUGGGAGAAGAAUUUGCCCCAUGACUCAAUCACCACCUGGGAUGAUUGCAAGAAGGCUUUUCUAUCAAAGUUCUUCUCCAAUGCCAGAACUGCAAGACUCAGAAAUGAGAUUUCUGGUUUCUCACAGAAAUCUGGUGAAAGCUUCUGUGAAGCAUGGGAGCGUUUCAAGGGUUACACCAACCAAUGCCCUCAUCAUGACUUUACUAAAGCCUCUCUCCUCAGCACUCUUUACAGAGGAGUCCUACCACGCAUCAGAAUGCUUCUAGAUACCGCCAGCAAAGGGAAUUUCCAGAACAAGGAUGUUGAAGAAGGCUGGGAAUUGGUUGAGAAUCUUGCUCAAUCAGAUGGCAAUUACAACGAGGACUGUGAUAGGACCGUCAGAGGAACAGCUGACUCUGAUGACAAGCACAGGAAGGAGAUCAAAGCGCUGAAUGACAAGCUGGACAGGAUUCUUCUUAGCCAGCAGAAGCAUGUGAACUUUCUUGUUGAUGACGAGCAGUUUCAUGUCCAAGAUGGGGAGGGUAACCAGUUGGAAGAAGUCAGCUACAUCAACAACAACCAGGGUGGCUACAAAGGAUACAAAAA